rnacentral:rRNA from 1 species
UUGGAGGGCAAGUCUGGUGCCAGCAGCCGCGGUAAUUCCAGCUCCAAUAGCGUAUAUUAAAGUUGUUGCAGUUAAAAAGCUCGUAGUUGAAUUUCGGGAUCAAUCUGUUGGUCGUGCCUUUGGUACGUACUAGCUUAUUGAUUUCUCCCUUCUGACGAACCAUGAUGUCAUUAAUUUGGUGUCAUGGGGAAUCAGGACUGUUACUUUGAAAAAUUAGAGUGUUUAAAGCAGGCUCACGCUUGAAUACAUUAGCAUGGAAUAAUGAAAUAGGACGUUUUGAUUCUAUUUUGUUGGUUUCUAGGAUCGACGUAAUGAUUAAUAGGGAUAGUUGGGGGCAUUAGUAUUCAAUUGUCAGAGGUGAAAUUCUUGGAUUUAUUGAAGACUAACUACUGCGAAAGCAUUUGCCAAGGAUGUUUUCACUAAUCAAGAACGAAAGUUAGGGGAUCGAAGACGAUCAGAUACCGUCGUAGUCUUAACCAUAAACUAUGCCGACUAGGGAUCGGAUGAUGUUAAUUUUUAAUGACUCAUUCGGCGCCUUACGGGAAACCAAAGUGUUUGGGUUC